rnacentral:rRNA from 1 species
UGAAAUUCGACUUCAUGAAGCUGGAAUUGCUAGUAAUGGCAGGUCAGCAUACUGCCGUGAAUACGUUCCCGGGCCUUGUACACACCGCCCGUCACACCAUGAGAGUCGGGAACACCCGAAGUCCGUAGCCUAACUUUAACGAGGGGGCGCGGCCGAAGGUGGGUUCGAUAAUUGGGGUGAAGUCGUAACAAGGUAUC